AUUGAACGCUGGCGGCAGGCCUAACACAUGCAAGUCGAGCGAGCGGCGGACGGGUGAGUAAUGUAUGGGGAUCUGCCCGAUAGAGGUGGAUAACUACUGGAAACGGUAGCUAAUACCGCAUACCAUCGGAUGUGCCCAGAUGGGAUUAGCUAGUAGGUGGGGUAAAGGCUCACCUAGGCGACGAUCCCUAGAGGGUCUGAGAGGAUGACCAGCCAAACGGGAACUGAGACAGGGUCCAGACUCAUACGGUAGGCAGCAGUGGGGAAUAUUGCACAAUGGGACAAAGCCGGAUGCAGCCAUGCCGCGUGUAUGAAGAAGGCCUACGGGUUGUAAAGUACUGUAAGUCGGGAGGCGUUACCGACAGAAGAAGCAACGGCUAACUCCGUGCCAGCAGCAGCGGUAAUUG
rnacentral:rRNA from 1 species